GCCCACUGCCGCCGGGAGGCCGCGCACACUGCCGCUGUUGUGUGGGUUUGUGUUGAAGGUAAAGGGCCGGGAGGCCGCGCACACUGCCGCUGUUGUCCGGGUUUGUGUUGAAGGUAAAGGGCCGGGAGGCCGCGCACACUGCCGCUGUUGUCCGGGUUUGUGUUGAAGGUAAAGGGCCGGGAGGCCGCGCACACUGCCGCUGUUGUCCGGGUUUGUGUUGAAGGUAAAGGGCCGGGAGGCCGCGCACACUGCCGCUGUUGUCCGGGUUUGUGUUGAAGGUAAAGGGCCGGGAGGCCGCGCACACUGCCGCUGUUGUCUGGGUUUGUGUUGAAGGACAGACAUUACCGUUACUCCCAUAUUAGAGGGGCAUGGAAACUUGCUCAAAGUCAAACAUCAGGGAAGUCACAGAGCCGGGGUUGCAGCCAAGCCGUCCGACUUGCCAUUCAAGCCUUCAACUGUCUCCAGGCUAACCCUCCCAGAGCGCCUCACCCCCUUUACUUUCCUAUCCAGCAGCCAGUAUUGUUACCAGAAGCCUAGGAGUACUCAGGAUUUUAUGUACUUUAAGUUGACGUGUGUGUGUGUGUGUGUGUGUGUGUGUGUGUGCGCGCAUGUAGGAAGGUAAUGGUAGUGGUGGUGGAUUUUUAAAUUGUUUUUUUUGGUAGUGAAUUCAUUUGUGAUCUACUUUUUGAUAAUUUAAACAAUCUAACUUCUUAAUUCUUUUCCCCCACCUGAGUGGUUUCAUCUUAAUUUCUUUCUCUUCAAUAUAUUCUUUCUUCGGUAACAGUAAGUGAUUAACAUGUAUUGUCCCAUGUUCUAGAGUCUUGAUUUUGUUUUAACUGUAUUGUCUAGGAUCUCAAAUUAUAAGGUAUGAAUACAUUGCAUUAUCUAAUUUUAAUUUGGAAAAUAUUAUAUGCAUAUUCUUGGUAAAUACCUUAUUAAUUUAAAUCAGCUUUUAGGAAGAACUUUGUCAAAUUCGAUAUCAGCAUAUAUUAGAGUUCUCUUCAAUCAAUAAAAAACUUUUUGCACCAUUCCCUCAAGUGGAUGCAGUAUUCUCAAGUGUCCGUCAUGGAGCAGGGACUUUCUUUGUUUACUGUUGAAUCCAUCCUCGCCGCCUCUCACACACUCUGGCAUCGUAGGCAUUAAAUGAAUAUCACAAUGAAUGAACCAAUUGCCAGCAUUUGCCUGCAACUGUUAUAUUAUCUGUGCACUUUAUGACUUUGUUUAGAUGAUUUUAAAUGCUGAGAUCUUUCCUUUUUGAUAUUUUGCACUAAACAUCUAAGAGUAUAGAUGGCAAAUUUCCUCUGACUAGGAUCAUAUACUCUUUUUAUAACAUAAUAUUGCUAUGAGGAUGCAAAUUAAUAUUUUUCAACUGUCCAUUAUAGUACCUGGGACAUGAUAGGGUUUAAAUAAAUGGUAGCUAUUAAGAGGUUGAAAAAUCAAUACAACAUGCAAAACAUUCUCACGUGAAGUCCUAUGGAUGAGGGAGCAGUGCAUUCCACUGGACGUGGCAGGCUGAAUCACACACACUUCCCCACGCACAGCUCUGGUUAUACUGCUGUACUUUUGUUCUGGGGAAGCUCUAAUAGUGUAACCUAAACUGUAGGACCUCAGCUGCAUGUCAUGAAAGCUAGAAAUCUCUUUCUCGCCCAGCAAGUCCUCGCUCAGGGAAGCCAGGCCAGGGCUGUCCUUGACCAUCCCUCUCCAAUAUGCUGUGUGCCCUGCCUUCUCUAUUGAGGGGUUGUGGGGAUCUGAUUACUCUCUGAUCUUCCUUCUCUUACAGAUCUGUCAGGUUUCAGAAGUGUUCAAGAGUCUCUUUUCAGAGAAAACCCUUCUCUGUCCUACACGCUCUGCUAGGAAUGGUUCUGAUCUCCUGACACCCCAGCUUCUCGUCAAUUAAUUGUCAAAUGGUCCAUAUAUGAUACCUCCCCUUCUCAUCUCCUGUUUCCUUCUUAUCUCACUGUACCACGACCUCAUCAGUCCUGUAACAUGUGAUCACUAGUGCCUUUUCGGGGACUCAACCCAAAGGGCACUUCUCUUUCAGUAGAUUUUUUGUUGUUGUUAGCAUUCAAUAAUCAGUUAACUAUUUUGUCUUGGAAACAUGAUCUCCUCUCAGCUUCCAUGACACCCUACUUUCUGACCCCCCUGCCAAUUGUUUCAUUUAUGUUCUUUGCUAGCCACUCAUUCUUUAUUGUGUUCCUCAAUACUGCAGAUUUUUAGGCCUUAGUCCUGGGCUUUCUUCACUCUUUCUACUCACACUAAGAUGGAUUAAUUCAGUAUACAUAGAUAAAGAGGUCUUGAGAGGUAACAUGAUGUGGUCUUUAUUAAUGAAAGCUUGGGAGUGAAUUUGAACUCCUCCCACUCCCCCGUACCUUAGUCAUUGGUUUUCUCCUUCUGUUGGAAGCAUGAUUUCCACAUCAAUAAAAAUAGACUUACCUUUAGAAGAGCAUGGUUGGGGCCAGGUGUGGUGGCUCAUGCCUGUAAUCCCAGCACUUUGGGAGGCCAAGGUGGGCAGAUCACGAGGUCAGGAGAUCGAGACCAUCCUGGCUAACACAGUGAAAUCCCGUCUCUACUAAAAACACAAAAAAUUAGCCAGGUGUGGUGGCAGACGCCUGUAAUCCCAGCUACUCGGGAGGCUGAGGCAGGGGAAUUGCUUGAACCUGGGAGGUGGAGGUUGCAGUUAGCCGAAAUCGCACCACUACACUCCAGCCUGGGUGACAGAGCGAGACUCUUGUCUCAAAAAAAAAAGAACAGCAUGAUUGGAACAUCCAAUUGUGUCUGCACCUUUAGACCCAUGUCCCCAUUAUCGUGUGUUUCUGCGUUUGGUUUUUCUGAUCCCAAAUGUGGAACAUCCUUCUAUUCUUUCUGUGCAUUUUGUCACAGCACUUACAGUCCAGCACUACAAUGUAUGCAGGUCAUUUUAAAUCUCGAGUCUAUCUUCCAAGAGUCCCUUUUCUCCAUGCUUAGUUACAUGUAUAUUUGAAAAGCAUGACUUUGGUUUUAUUAAAAUUAAGGGAAACAACAAAAUGAGAGAAGGCUGGGAGAGAGUGCAAUGAUGUUUCACCAGAGACCUCAUGUUCACUGAUACCGAGGCAUUAAGAUUCCCCAUAGAAAGUCAUUCAAAAUGGUAACUAUAAACAGAUUGUAUGUUGCCAUGACUAGUUAUCGUAGCAUAAAUAUCAUAAGCAUUUAUUGGGCAGUUAUUGUGUACAAGGCAUCUUUAUAAGUGCUUUUAUAUGCACAAAUCCACUUAAUCCUCAAAGCACAUCUAUGAGCAGGUGCUGUAAUUAUUAAUUAUACACGGCUUACAGAUAAAGAACCUAGGGAGAUUAGGUAACUUAACCAGGACCACAAGGUUAGUGACUAGCAGAAUUGAGAUUUGAUCCCAAGCAGUUUUAAUCUAGAUUUUGUAUUUUUAACAAAUGUGUCCCAUUGCAUAGUUACUAUAGAAAAUUCAGAAGUUUUUUUUUUUUAAUAAAGCCAAAAAAUAUUUUUUGGAAAUAAGUCACAUCACUUAUUCAACUGGGGUGAUUUAAUUAAGUCUUCAAGUAAUUUAAACUGAAAAAUGAUUAUUGUUUAUUUAGACUAUUUAGAAAAAAACAAACUUUCAAAAGCCACAAAGCUAAUUUAUAUGCCUCUGCAUAUUUUCAGAGUAAAAAUUUUUUUGAAUGAAUAAUUUUGAAGCUUUUCCUAAAUUUAAUGCUUCUCUUAAAUUUGGUCAAUUUUUUUCCCUGUUUGUCUGGCAUGUACUUACCUUGGACCUCAGUUGCCAUGUCUUAAAUGUUGCUUUGUACCUGGUCUGGUAUUCUAUUUUGAGGGCAGUGCUGUUUGGGGAUAGGAGGCUCGUCAGCCAUAGGGUUCUCUUGCAGCAGUUUUCUGAUGGUAAUAGAUCAUUUGAGUGAUGCUAUUCCCAGUGCAGCUGUUUGGCGAUUAUGUUUUGUAAUCCAGCCGCUUUCUGUUGACACUGCUUAAUAUGCUGAACUCUUCUGGAAACUACAUUAACUUUUUCAGAAGGCUAGAUACUGUGUGAUGUUCUGAAUUGGAAUUUCCUAAGUAGUCCUCUUGAACCCUGAAAAGAAGAAUUUUACUUCCAGAUGUGUUCUAUUUCUAAGAAAUAGGUUUAGCUCCCUAGAGAAGCGACUCAAUGAAUGUUAAUUGAUGAUGAUGAUGAUGAUGAUGAUGAUAAUUGUACAAGAGCUAUAACCCAUCUAUUAUCUUUGUAACUAUUAUAUUCUUUUCAUUUCUGACCCUACUAAAAUUUGUUUCAAAUAUUUGACUGAAUCUGAGCAAAUAUAAAUUGUAUAUUUACAUUAAUUUUAAUAUAUAUUUUAUUUGCUUCUUUUGGUUUUGAAUGUUCAUUAGUAUGCAUGAUAUUACUUAGCUAUGUUUUAAUAUUGUCAGAAGUAGGUCUCCUUCUAUAUCACUUUGUUAUAUUUCAGUUAAAAAAACCUUAUAUUUUCUAAGCAAAGAGGAGAUAUAUUUAUUAAAAAUGGAAAAUAUAGAUAGAGAAAACAAGAAAAUUACUUCUAACACCACCAUUCAGACACAAAUACUACCAACAUUUUAGUGUAUCUCCUUCAAGUAUUUUUCUUUCAAUGACUAUCUCUUAUUUUUCCAAAAAAUAGGGUCACUUAGUUUUUGAGUGUUUGAUCAUAGCAGUUGUGCUUAAUAGACUAAGAGUCUCUUUGUGCAUCACUGCACAGUGUUAUGCGACACUAUUUGUGAUUGAUGCAUGCAUAUUUGGCCAUAAUUUAUUUACCUAUCGCUUUAGCAGAGGGCAUUUAGAUUCCUUCACAUUUUUUUGCUGUUGUUACAAUAAUUUCUUUACAGAUAAAUGUUUGAAUAUUCCUGGUUCUAAGGAGAAAUGCUAGUUCUAAGAGUUUGCAAAAGUUUAAGGUUCUGCCAAAUUGCCUUGUAGAAGAGUUACUUAAUUUAAAUGUUUGACCACAGUCUACAAGUAGUGCAUGGACUGAGUUUUAAAAGCACAAGUACUUACAUAAAUCCCAUCGAUCAGCGUGUAUCUCAGUAUAACAGGCCUAACAGGAAGGGGCGUUAAGUGAAUUUCCCAAGAUUUGGCAUAUUUAUCGUGACCAGGUUUGUGUUCAUGGGUUGCAGAAAUGUUCUAAUAACAAGCUCACAAGCAAACAGGAAACAAAUCUGUGAGAAAUGCUGUUGCUUUCUCUUCAAUAAAACAAUAAAAAAUACUUUUCAGAUGAUAAAUAGACUCCAGAUAGCAUCAUUUUCAAUAUUCUUAUAUUUGACAAGCAUUGCCAGCAAUAUUAAAAUAAUAAUUUAAUUGGUUAUUUACUAUAUGCCAGGUGCUAUUCUAAAUGCAUUACAUAUGUUAUCUCAUACUCUGAAUGCUCAUUUGUUAUGAAUUAAAACAUCCAUCUCAUAUUCUAAGUUAACUAGACUAUAAUAAUAAAAUAUAGUUAGUCUGGUUUUCCAGGACUUACCAAAAUAUAGGUCCCCCCAAAUGUUACUUCCCAGAAAUGUUGUUCCUGUCUAUUGCAUAGCAUUCAAGCCACUGGAACAUCAACCACAGAUAGCAAUUUUAUCCCUAUACUAAGUUUUCCAUGGUUAGAGUUUAUUCAGCUUGUUUGGUAUUAAACAUUUUCAUAUUAUUAUCACAUAGAUGUGAUCCUAUGUCUCUUACUUAAUAAUAUAAAAUCUAAGUAUUCUUAAGAAAGACUAAUCAUAUGUUAUAUGUGUUAUGUACACCAUUAAGCUUAGUGACUUAGUGAAAACUCAACAUAUCACAUUCAAUCAAUUCUUUAAACUAGUUUCUUAAUUUUUAAAACAAGUGAAGAAAACCAUAAUGCUGUACAACCAAAGAAAAACAAUAUGAUCAUUUUGAUACUUCACAUAAAAAAUAAACAAAAUUUUACAUCUUUUCAUUUUUUAAUAGCUCUUAUUUACCUCUAGGAAUAAAAGUUUAUUUUCUUUAUAUGCUAAUAAGUAUCUGACAGUCUUUUGUAAAUAGUCUCGACAUUUUUCUGGGCAAAUUCUCAAUUUUCAUUAAACCCAGCUCCAUCUCCUGUGCGUCCCCCCAGAACAGGUGAGCACAGUGGAAGCCAUCAGUGAGCUCUGUGGGCCGGGACUCCCAUCUUCCCACGUCUCAGCUGCCGGGGCAGGGCACUCGCAUCCAUCUCUGCUUUGUUGCACCUUCUGCUACUUUGGAUGAAAUCUCCGCGCUUCUGUCUGAGAACAACCUUGUGCUCCAGAGCCGUUUACCUCCCACUUCCCAAGGACUUUACUCUUGCUGCUGUUGGCCCUUACUCUUGCCCCACCCAUCUGCCCUUCUUAAUUUUCAGCCCUUUUAUAGGCUGUGGCAUCUCCGGUCUUAGAAAACCAUCUUCCCCUCACUCCCAAGCACAGUGGAACUUCUGGAAGGAGAUCUUUCCAGUUCCUGUUUCUACUUCUUCCUCACAUUUCCUUGUCAAAGUAUUUUCUUCCUGAUUCCAGGGGAAGCUAAUGUUGCCAGAUCCAAUGGCCACUCUUUGUUUAAGUGCUCGCUGUUCAUCCCAUUCGCAGGGAGGGAUUCUCGUCCCAGGGCUAUAGUAUUGUCUGAAAACAAAUCACCCGCCACCGAGCAGACGAGAUUGACGGCAGUUUAUUAAUCACCUGCACUCGCAGCCCGAGGGACCUGGAGGCCGUGCACCGUCGUGGGGCGGCCCGGGGGACGCUGUCGUGGCACAGCCCGGGGGACCGGGAGGCCGUGCACCGUCGUGGGGCAGCCCGAGUUACGGGGAGGUCGUGCACUGUUGUGGCGCAGCCCUGGGGACACCGUCGUGGAGCAGCCCGGCGGACCGGGAGGCCGUGCACUGUCCUGGCGCCCGAGGACUGUGUUGGGGACAGAAUGAACUGCUGGAGCUGUGAGAGGCUUUGGAGUGUCAGAGUGUGCGUUGUCCUCAGGUUCUCAUGGGGGAAUGCGCUGGGCUUGUUGGAAUAAUGUCUCUAGGGCUGGCGGGGAACAGAAACACGCUACUCAGGGAUCCGCAGCAACCGUGCCUGGCUGUUCCAUCAGACUGGCUGAUGAGAGGACCUCAUUCAUGGGCGAGUGUGGAGGGGAUGCAGGGAAGCCGCUGCAGGCCCUGCUGCCUUUACCAGAUGUCAAAGCCACGUGUAAUUUGGGGUCUUCAUUUUUAGAACUUGAACCACACUUCUGUAUACUUUUCUUACUUAGUUUUUUAGAUAUUUUUUCUCCUGAGAUGAUGGUUCCCUUUCUUAUAAAACACUUUCCAGCCUUGCUUUCCAUGACUGCUGGUUUCUCUUUAAGCUCAGUGGUUAUGUCUUCUCAGAAUUCUUUGCUGUUUUUUUUUGUUUUUGUUUUGUUUUGUUUUGUUUUGUUUUGUUUGAGACUGAGUUUCACUCUUGUUGCCCAGGCUAGAGUGCAGUGGCACAAUCUCAGCUCACUGCAUCCUCCGCCUCCCAGGUUCAAGUGAUUCUCCUGCCUCAGCCUCCUGAGUAGCUGGGAUUACAGGCGCCCACCACCACACCCAGCUAAUUUUUGUGUUUUUAGUAGAGACGGGAUUUCACCAUGUUGGUCAGGCUAGUCUCGAACUCCUGACCUCAGGUGAUUCACCCACCUCCACCUUGGCCUCCCAAAGUGAUGGGAUUACAGGCAGCCGCCACCUCGCCAGGCUAAUUUUUGUAUUUUCAGUAGAGAUGGGGUUUCACCAUGUUGGCCAGGCUGGUAUGGAACAACCACCCGCCUUGGCCACUGUAAGUGCUGGGAUUACAGGUGUGAGCCACCGUGCCCAGCCAAUACCACCUAUUUCCUAAAACCUUUCAGCAGCCUCUCGCAGCUCUUGGAAUAAAUCUGAACUGUCUGGAAAGGCAAGCAUGUAAGCCUGGACCUCGCUUCCACUCCGGUCUCCACUGGGGACACGCUCCCCUCCCUGCCUGUCCACUGCAGUGACACGGAACCACUUCUGUUCCUCACAGUGACAAGCUUAUUUCUCCCGUGGGGUCUUUCACCAGACACUGUGGUUGCUUGAAGCGCUCAUCUCAUUGUCACACCUCUGGUAUCUUCUUGAUCUCUGCUUAAAUAUCCCCUACACAGAGGAGGCACUUCUGACCAUCAACACCCAACACCCACUCAGGCACUGAAGUCAUCAUCCUGUUUAAAUGACCUGAAAAGCUCCUUCCAUCGCCGAUAUUGUCCGUGUUUGUUGAAUCAGUUUUCACUAUUUAAUGACUUUUUAACUUGGUUUUAAAUCAAAAUUCUUAAAAUACUUCUACAUUUUAAAAAUCACAAUGUGUCUUAUAAUCAUUUGCUUAUAAUAGUUUAAUUGGGACUUCAUUUUUCUUUAGCAUAACAUAAUAAAUGAUGGUAAAUCUUAUAAUUGAUGCAUCCUUGAUUUACUGAUUACAGUAUCCAAUUAUUUAUUCAUUUUAUAACUGUCAGUUAACUCUGAGUUCCGCAAGAGCAGGAAUUGUGUCUGUCUGGUUGCACCAUCAGAAUCUACAACAUUGGAUUAUUUUUGUUAAAUAUGUGAAAAAAAAACCAACAGAAAAUUAAUAUUUAAUGAAAAAAACACUGAAGUACUCUGUUUAGAUUCAGUAAUUAGAAACAAACACCUGUAAGCACUGUUAUAUAUAGCAGUAUUCUGGAGGUCCUAGGCAAUGCAAUUUUAAAAAAUGGAAGUUUGGCUGGGCGCGGUGGCUCAUGCCUGUAAUCCCAGCACUUUGGGAGGCUGAGGCGGGCAGAUCAUCUGAGGUCAGGAGUUUGAGACGAGCCUGGCCAACAUAGUGAAACCCUAUCUCUACUAAAAAUACAAAAAUUAGCCAGGUGUGGUGGCGGGCACCUGUAAUCCUUGGUACUCGGAGGCUGAGGCAAGAGAAUUGCUUGAGCCUGGGAGGCAGAGAUUGCAGUGAGCCAACAUCACACCACUGCACUCCAGCCUGGGCAACAAGAGCAAAACUUCAUCUCAAAAAAAAAAAAAAAAAAAAAAUAGAAGUUAUGGCUGGGCACGGUGCCUCGUGCCGGUAAUUCCAGCACUUUGGGAGGCCGAGGCGGGCGGAUCAUGAGGUCAGGAGUUCAAGACCAGCCUGGUCAACAUGGUGAAACCCCGUCUCUACUAAAAAAAAAAUACAGAAAUAGCCGGGCGUAGUGGCAUGCGCCUGUAAUCCCAGCCACUCAGGAGGCUGAGGCAGGAGAAUCUUUUGCAACUGGGAGGCAGAGGUUGCAGUGAGCCGAGAUCGUGCCACUGCACUCCAGCCUGGGUGACAAGAGCAAAACUUCGUCUCAAAAAAAAAAAGAAGUUUAAAUAUCAGACAGGAAGACACAUACGAACAAUGGCCUUUCUAGAAAAGAGAAAACUUAAUGUUAGUAUUAGGCCUAAUGAGACUAUUGAGUAGCUUGUUGAGUACAUGAAACAUACACUCAAAUCAAAUAUUUAGAAGCUAAUAAACACCAAUUGGAAAAAAAUGGUUACAAAAUUUUAUUGUAUAACAAUGAAAAUAAAAAUUCUAAGCAUAGGAUGUAUGAAGAAAACUACAAAAUUUCGUUGAGAGGAAUAUAACUUCAUUAAAUGAGGCAAAAAAAAAAAAAAUCCAGCAUGGCCAGAUUGCAUUUUUUUCCCUAAAUUAUUCAAUAAGCUGAAUGGAAAUGUAAGCAAAGUCUCCGUGUGUGUGUGUGUGUGUGUGUGUGUAGAAAUAUGUGUGUGUAGAAAUAUAUUAGAAAUAUAUACACACAGUGUAUAUAUUAUAUAUAUAUAUAUACUGUUACUGAUUCCAGUAUAAAAAUAUUUCUGUAUAAUUGAGCCUGUUUCUAAACUUUUCAUGUUUUAUUUUUUCUACUAGAAAAAAUAUAUUCUUCAUGUAUUCAUAUAUGAAGUAUAUAUAGUAUAUACUAUAUGUAUAGUAUUAAUAUAGUAUAUAUAUGAAGUAUACUAUACAUAGUAUAUGUGUAGUAUGAAGUAUGCUAUGUACGAAGUAUACUAUAUAUAGUGUGUGUAUAUGUGUAUGUGUAUAUAUGUGUGUGUGUGUGUAUAUGUGUAUAUAUAUAUAUAUAUAUAUACUGCUACUGAUUCCAGUAGAAAAAAUACAAUGAAAAGUUCAGAAACAGGCUCAAUUAUACAGACAUAUUUUUAAAAUAUUAUUUUUCCCUUCUUUAUCUGCUUUCUAUGAUAUUAACUGAACAUCUCAUUUGAUUCCAUUUUAUUCUCCUUCUUAAUAUAUCAAUUAUACUUCUCUAAAAAUAUUUUAAUGGCUGUUCUAGAGUUUGCAAUAUACAUUUUUAACUAUUAUAGGUUCACCUUUAAAAAGUACUGUACAACUUCUCAUGUAAUGUCCGUACCUGAUUACCUGAUAACAGAGUACCCCCAAUUCCUCACCCCCCAUCCCCAGGGACAUUGCUGUCACUCAUUUCACUUGUCUAUAUGACAUAAUCAUCUGAUACAUUGUUGUUAUUAUUGUUUUAAGCAAACAAUUGUCUUAAUUAAUUUUAGGGUUAAAAUAUGAAGACUAAAAUAUUUUGCCUUCAUUUGUUACUUGUUUGAUGCUAUUUUCUUUAUGUAGCUCUAUGUUUCUGGCCUAUAUAAUUUUUCUUCUGCAUGAAAUGUUUCUUAGAGGGCAGGUCUGUUGGUGAUGAAUUCUCUCAGUUUCAGUUUGAGAAAGUCUUUGCUGCUCCUUUACUUUUGAAAGAUAUUUAGCCCACUUGAUCAUGGUGGAUAAGCUUUUUGACGUGCUGCUGGAUUCCGUUUGCCAGUAUUUUACUGAGGAUUUUUGCAUCAAUGUUCAUCACAGAUAUUGGUCUAAAAUUCUCUUUUUUGUUGUUGUUGUGUCUCUGCCAGGCUUUGGUAUCAGGAUGAUGCUGGCCUCAUAAAAUGAGUUAGGGAGGAUUCCCUCUUUUUCCGUUGAUUGGAAUAGUUUCAGAAGGAAUGGUACCAGCUCCUCCUUGUACCUCUGAUAGAAUUCGGCUGUGAAUCCGUCUGGUCCUGGACUUUUUUUGGUUGGUAACCUAUUAAUUAUUGACUCAAUUUCAGAGCCUGUUAUUGGUCUAUUCAGAGAUUCAAGUUCUUCCUGGUUUAGUCUUGGGAGGGUGUAUGUGUCGAGGAAUUUAUCCAUUUCUUUUAGAUUUUCUAGUCUAUUUGCGUAGAGGCGUUUAUAGUAUUCUCUGAUGGUAGCUUGUAUUUCUGUGGGAUCGGUGGUGAUAUCCCCUUUAUCAUUUUUUAUUGCAUCUAUUUGAUUCUUCUCUCUUUUCUUCUUUAUUAGUCUUGCUAGCGGUCUAUCAAUUUUGUUGAACUUUUCAAAAAACCAGCUCCUGGAUUCAUUGAUUUUUUUGAAGGGUUUUUUGUGUCUCUAUUUCUUUCAGUUCUGCUCUGACAUUAGUUAUUUCUUGCCUUCUGCUGGCUUUUGAAUGUGUUUGCUCUUGCUUCUCUAGUUCUUUUAAUUGUGAUGUUAGGGUGUCAAUUUUAGAUCUUUCCUGCUUUCUCUUGUGGGCAUAUAGUGCUAUAAAUUUCCCUCUGGUUCAACUAUGUAAAUCAAUAAAUGUAAUCCAGAAUAUAAACAGAACCAAUGACAAAAACCAUAUGAUUAUCUCAAUAGAUGCAGAAAAGGCCUUUGAAAAAAUUCAACAACUCUUCAUGCUAAAAACUCUCAAUAAAUUAGGUAUUGAUGGGAUGUAUCUCAAAAUAAUAAGAGCUAUCUAUGACAAACCCACAGCCAAUAUCAUACUGAAUGGGCAAAAACUGGAAGCAUUCCCUUUGAAAACUGGCACAAGACAGGGAUGCCCUCUCUCACCACUCCUAUUCAACAUAGUGUUGGAAGUUCUGGCCAGGGCAAUCAGGCAGGAGAAGGAAAUAAAGGGUAUUCAAUUAGGAAAACAGGAAGUCAAAUUGUCUCUGUUUACAGAUGACAUGAUUGUAUAUCUAGAAAACCCCAUCAUCUCAGCCCAAAAUCUCCUUAAGCUGAUAGGCAACUUCAGCGAAGUCUCAGGAUACAAAAUCAGUGUGCAAAAAUCAAAAGCAUUCUUAUACACCAAUAGCAGACAGAGAGCCAAAUCAUGAGUGAACUCCCAUUCACAAUUGUUUCAAAGAGAAUAAAAUGCCUAGGAAUCCAACUUACAAGGGACGUGAAGGACCUCUUCAGGAGAACUACAAACCACUGCUCAAUGAAAUAAAAGAGGAUACAAGCAAAUGGAAGAACAUUCCAUGCUCAUGGGUAGGAAGAAUCAAUAUUGUGAAAAUGGCCAUACCUCCCAAGGUAAUUUAUAGAUUCAAUGCCAUCCCCAUCAAGCUACCAAUGACUUUCUUCACAGAAUUGGAAGAAAACUACUUUAAAGUUCAUAUGGAACCAAAAAAGAGCCCGCAUUGCCAAGUCAAUCCUAAGCCAAAAGAACAAAGCUGGAGGCAUCACACUACCUGACUUCAAACUAUACUACAAGGCUACAGUAAUCAAAACAGCAUGGUACUGGUACCAAAACAGAGAUAUAGAUCAAUGGAACAGAACAGAGCCCUCAGAAAUAAUGCUGCAUAUCUACAACCAUCUGAUCUUUGACAAACCUGACAAAAACAAGCAAUGGGGAAAUGAUUCCCUAUUUAGUAAAUGGUGCUGGGAAAACUGGCUAGCCAUAUGUAGAAAGCUGAAACUGGAUCCCUUCCUUACAUCUUAUACAAAAAUUAAUUCAAGAUGGAUUAAAAACUUAAAUGUUAGACCUGAAACCAUAAAAACCCUAGAAGAAAACCUAGGCAAUACCAUUCAUGGCAUAGGCAUGGGCAAGGACUUCAUGUCUAAAACACCAAAAGAAAUGGCAACAAAAGCCAAAAUUGACAAAUGGGAUCUAAUUAAACUAAAGAGCUUCUGCACAGCCAAAGAAACUACCAUCAGAGUGAACA
rnacentral:lncRNA from 1 species